CCAAAUGGUAAGUAUUAUACAAUUAUGUUAUAAUUAAAUCAUCUGUGGAGAUUUAUUAUAUUUGUAAUUGAGUGUAACUGUAAAAAAUGUUACUGUAACUGUAAUUCAAAUAUAACAUCGGCAUCUAAGAAAUCUAAUGUUAACAAAUAAUGCCCGUUUUAUAGUUUUUGAUAAACCCCAAUAUUUUAACAGAUUUUUGUUUACAAUAACUCGUAAAAGGUGGGCUUCUGUAUUCAUCUUGUUCUUUCGUCACGCAUGAGAGGGUUGCAUUAUGCAAUAAUUAUAGUUAUUUUUUAAAGCAUAGUCGAAGGGGUUUAGAAAGUAUUUAACAUUAUUUUUUUUAAGCCGGAUUGUUUAAUCUAAGGCGUAUAAAGAUAUCAUAUAAACUAGGUUUCAUUUUAUACACAACGUGGUAGUUUUCUAAAGCCCUAAUGAAAGCCGACUUCAAAAGAUUCAAAUCGAGCAUCGAGGCUUCGCAUGCACGGAUUCAGUUACAUAGUGUAUGCUUGAAAUUAAAUAUUUUGCAAACGAUUGCACAGAACCUUAUAAUCACAUAAUAUCAUAUUGGUUUGGAAUUGGGAUAAAAGAUGCACUGUGCUUUUGUGGAAUAUUUUUGGCAUGAUCCCUUUUUAUUUUCUUUACUCAAAACAUUUUAUUUUAAGGUGUCUUUACUGAUUGUAUUUGUUUUAAAAUCUUCUGUUAUAUUCCAACAGUUUAAUUUCUAUUGUGGUAUCUGGCUAAAUAUACAUAAAAAACAAGCGUUUACAUUUGGCCUUGUACAAUCUUUAAGUGGCUUUUUCCUGUAUUGCACGACGAUGAUCAAUAUAAUAAGCUGUAUAAUGCUAUGUCUUUUUAAAUAAAACGAGAUGUAGUGGAUAUUUGUUUUGGUGUGAUUUCAUCGUAGAUCAAAAAGUUACAGUUCUGGUGCUUAGAUCUGUAUUUUACCGUUGUAAAAUUGUAAUUAUAUUGAAAUAUAUUCCUUUAUAAGCUACUUAGUUUUAAUUCUUAUGCUAUUAGGUUAAUGUUUAUGUAUACAAAACUGUUAAAUAAAUAAGUAUGAAAAUAGUGUGAGGCUUUGAGCUCGUAGAAAACCCCUGUGACAUUGCAUUGACCUUUCCAAGGCAAUGGCCCCCCUUUUGUGAUUGUUUGUGUGUUUGUUAUAUAUGUAUGACUCUUGUGUACCGUAUUUAUUUUGUGCCAUAUGUUUUGGCAAUUAGUUCCGUGUCCUGAAUAAAGGACCGCAUUGUAAAAGAAGGUUUCUCUCGGUGCAAGUGAAGUUUCACGUAAUUUGUAUACGAUACUUUUAGACGUUUUAAACACUGAUGCACUUAUUUUCGUUUUAACGCCUGCCAGUAUCAACAUCUAAACAGUUAAAUAUGCAAUUUAUAAAAUAACAAUUAAGUUCACAAAACUUGAACAGAGAUCUUCAUUUAAUACAUAUAUUUAAUAUCUUAUAGCGCAAAGUCCACCCCACGUUGUUACACAAAUCCCUAUCCCUCUUCUUAUCGAUAAAUUUUUUGGAAUAAAGCCAUAGCUAACGCCCAGCCCCCUUCUUCCCGUUAUUUGUUUACUCGACGCGUAUUAUUUAAACAUGUUUUUAUAGUAUUAUUUUUGUGUUGUGGGCCUGGGGCGAAGCCCCUAGGCCAUAGUACUAAUACCGAUUUUUGAGACAAGCUGACUUGGCUGGCUGCCAAAACAAUCACGAAUGAAUGAGUUUGUGAAAGUCCGAUUUACCACUUGGCGGUCAUUCAUGCGCAAUCAAAGAAGACGGACCUGUACAAACAAAUAGGUCCCUGCAAAGAAGUUCUCAAUAACCCGCAUUGUAAAUACAGAAUAUCACUAUAUAAUAUGACAGUGUUAUAAAACGUGUAAAAAAAUAUUAUUGAAGCAAAAUUGCUAAGCAUUGGGUACGACAUAGUUUUUAUUAUUGUUUGCAUAUUCAUGCGAGAAUAAGUUCCUCACUUGACAGUCUAGGCCGAAAAUAUACGAGUGUCUACGGAGACAGUAAGAAAUUUUUUUACUGAUACAUUUUUAUGCCCCCCUUCGAAGAAGAGGGGGUAUAUUGCUUUGCUCAUGUCGGUCGGUCGGUCGGUAGGUCGGUCGGUCCGUCCACCAGGUGGUUGUCGUAUGAUAACUCAAGAACGCAUACGCAUAGGAUCAUGAAACUUCAUAGGUAGAUUGAUCAUGACUCGCAGAUGACCCCUAUUGAUUUUGAGGUCACUAGGUCAAAGGUCAAGGUCACGGUGACCCGAAAUAGUACAAUGGUUUUCGGAUGAUAACUCAAGAACGCAUACGCUUAGGAUCAUGAAACUUCAUGGGUAGAUUGAUCAUGACUCGCAGAUGACCCCUAUUGAUUUUGAGGUCACUAGGUCAAAGGUCAAGGUCACGGUGACCCGAAAUAGUAAAAUGGUUUCCGGAUGAUAACUCAAGAACGCAUACGCCUAGGAUCAUGAAACUUCAUAGGUAGAUUGAUCAUGACUUGCAGAUGACCCCUAUUGUUUUUGAGGUCACUAGGUCAAAGGUCAAGGUCACGGUGACCUGAAAUAGUAAAAUGGUUUUCGGAUGAUAACUCAAGAACGCUUUUGCCUAGGAUCAUGAAACUUCAUAGGUAGAUUGAUCAUGACUCGCAGAUGACCCCUAUUGAUUUUGAGGUCACUAGGUCAAAGGUCAAGGUCACAGUGACAAAAAUCGUGCUCACACAAUGGCUGCCACUACAAUGGACAGCCCAUAUGGGGGGCAUGCAUGUUUUACAAACAGCCCUUGUUUAAGGUAUUAGCACUCUAAUGAACUUCGUGCAAUAUCGCAUUCUUUCGUACAUAUCCGUCACUCCGAACGCUGGACUGUGCGGAAAACUAAGAAUAUUCUAUAAAUACGCUAUGAAAUACAAAAUGUAGGACCCGCUAAAUACAAUGACAACAAAUAUGGCCGACAUUGUACCUGACAGACUGGGUCGUUUAAAUAAAAAGCAAUUUGCUAUAUUAAAAGAGAACAAUUAAUAAAAGUGUUAUUAUUGUUCAUAUUAAUGUGACUGGAGUUAAUGAUAAACGUCAACUAAUGCAUGGCAGUGUUGAUAAUUAUGAAGAAAACGAUUCCUGGAAAUACAAAUGUCAAACGAUUGAAAAUUUUGACCACUGGCACUGUGAAGAAUAACGUUAUAGCCCGUGUCAUUUACAAAAUUUAAUAUUCUUCUUGAAGGUAAAAGGGGAUAGAGUGGAUUUAUGAUUGUGUGAUGACUGUAGCCAUGUGAACGGGUUAUCGUACGGCAAAACCCAUCACGUAAAGAAGAGUCUUCAACUUUUCAAGAAAGGAAUGCCUUGUUUUGCUAUCAACACAAAGCUCGGAACAGGAAGCUUUAAUAACAAUGAAUACAGUAGGGCACAGUCGACAGUGACAAUUUUUUGAUAAACUUCCUGGUUUUUGUCAAAGGUAAAUUAAAAUAAGUUUUUCAUUUGUUUUUCUCAUUAAAAAAAAUCAAAGUUGGUCUUAAAAGAUGGAAUUUCAUGUUUAAUGAAUCUAUUACACCAAUCAUGAUGUUUGUAUGAGCCGUUUUGGCGGUCAUAACGACGAUUUUAGACGCUGUUUAUGUGUCUGUUUGCCUAGGUAGUUGUCAAAAUCUUAAACACUUCUCAAUUUAUCAUUUGUUGUUGAACUUUUCUAUAAUGACAAUAUUAACAUUUCGUUGAACAAUUUACGGGCAUAUAUUCCAUUAGACGUAUUCUACUUUCAUUUUAUGUACUUAAAUUAUUGUUUUACAUUUAACAGACUGUGAACUGAGCAAGGUUGUAUUAAAAAGUAAUAUCAAAUUUAUGUUGCAAAUCUUUGUGCAAUCUCACAAUGACAGGUUAGCGAUUACAAUUCCAUGCGAAAUGAUAGCAUUAAUGCAUAUGUCAGGAAUGUGUUUAAUUACAAUGUAUAUUUGAUUAUUUUUAUUGGUACAUAUUUUAAUGUUUCUAUUCUUGUAAAAAUUUAUAGUUUUGGAUGUCAAUAUUAAUGGUUGUGUUCAUGAUCAAGUUUAACAUGAAAGCAAUGAUGAUCUAAGAUUCAUAACAACAAAUAAAGAAAGUAGAAAGAAAAAAAAUAUCUUUCUCAUAAAGCACGACCAACUACACAAAUAUGUUGCAAUGCUUUUGAAACUUUAUGUUUUCAAUGAAUUGUCAGACAUGACCAAGAGUUCGCAGCUUAAGAAAACUGAUUAAAUGUUCUCAGUCAAUAUGUGUCUGGACUAUCGGAAUAUCGUUUAGAUUGUAUUGAGAUUUAAUACUUCAUCAUACUUUUGUUUUCAUUGUCAUAUAUUAUUUUCAACUAUAACACAAUCAUACAUAAAUAUUUUGCUAUAUUUUAUUUAUUCAGGGGCAGAACCUACUGCCUGGUAGUUUCAAUGAUGAACUAUCAUGAUAUAGGGCUAAAAGAUGGAUGUGCCAAAUCCACCUCAUGAAAAACAGAUUGGGCAAAAGUGGUGUGCAAACACUAAAUGAUGUGCUGCUAAAUAGCAGAUCUUUACAAAGUGAAUUCGGCAAAUCCUGAUGCAACCUGAGCUUACCAAGUUUACUGACAGUUUGGACUCUUUGUGGAUGAUAAUAUGGACAAUAUAUUGUGUUCAUGUUGUGUUGUGAUUGACAUUUUUUAACAGAUAAGAUUUUUUAAUCCAGACGUAACAGGUGAUUUUUCUUCAAAGAAUAAAUACAAUACUUUUUUGUUGAUGUGCAUGAAUUUGAUUACAAAAUAUCAACAAUGUGUAUCUUGUGUUGUUUUUCCAAUCAGUCUGUCAUCCAUAGGUAAUAUAUUAAGUAUGAGAAGGGAAUAUUUUAUUUUUACAUUUUUGUUGUUUCUGCACACCAUGUCAGAUACAUGAAAAUAUAUUUUAUGCCCCCAACGGGCGGCAUAUAGUUUUCGCACUGUCCGUCUGUCAGUCUGUCUGUCCUCCGUAACACUUUUCGUGUUCACUCUCUAAUUCAAGUAGUUCUAAUCAGAUCUCCAAACUUGGUCAGAAGUUGCAUCCGGAUAAUGUCUAGGUCAAGACGAACAUGGGUCAUGCCGGGCCAAAAACUAUGUCAUAGGGUCACUUAGUGCGUUUCAAACAUUCAGCAUGGUGCCCGCUCUCUAAUUCAAGUAGUUUUCAUCCGAUCUUUCCCAAACUCUGUCAGAAGUUGUAUCUACAUAAUGUCUACGCCAAGUGUGAACAUGGGGCAUGCCGGGCAAAAAACUAGUUCACUGGGUCACUUAGUGCGUUUUAAACAUUCAGCUUGGUGUCUGCUCUCUAAUUCAAUUAGUUUUCAUCUGAUCUUCACCAAACUUGUUCACAAGUUUUAUCUAGAUGGUCUCUAGGCCAAGUUCGAACAUUCAUGCAGAGAAUUGGCAGAAAAAAACAUCUACAAACUGCAGCAGAUGACAUAUGUAACAAACAAAAUAUAAAUAUUGAACAACUGUUAUGUAGCAAACUUAUAGUUAAAUAAAAUAAAGGCGAUGUAUAUCUCAAAAACAUUGGCACACUUAUGCGUUUAUGUAGUGACAAAGUUACAGUUGGGGGCAUCCGUGUCGUGUGGACACAUUUGUUUGAUUAAUGAUAAACAACUCAUUCAUAGUGAUCUAACUAUAAAAUGUUCUUUACACGAUAAGAAAUACAUUGUAUUGUAUGCCUGCUAAUAUUGUGGUCUUAAAAUAAUAUCACUAAUACUGUUGUAGUUCAUUUAAACAUCACGAUAUGUGAUGUUAACGUAUGUGUUCAUGUUAUGUUUGUAUUUGAUUUAUUUUUACAUGUUAAUGAAUAUUUGGUGUUUAAAGUUCAAUCUAUAGUGAAUUAGUUAGUGACGUGUGCCAUUAAAUAUGUACUGCUUAUUGCUUUUAUUUUGUUUAAGUUGAAAAUCAUGUUUUUGAAUCUCUACGUAUGAAAUGCACUAGUGAAUUUGGUUUGACACUUAUGCGAAUAUUAAUUAUAUAUUAACUUCAAAUACAUUGUUGAUCACAAACAGCAUGUGUAUGCAAUCCACAAAUUACUGUUUCCAUAGCAACUGUUAACUUAAUGUAUUUUGUCUACUUUAUUUUAUCAAUCAUGGAACAAAAUUGAAUUGCUAAAUAAACAAAAUAAAGUCUGGCAGUACAGACACACAACACAAAUUGUGUCAUGAGGAGUUAUUCGUUUUAGUUUUAAGUUCAUAGCUGUACAAAAUUUUCAAUUUAUGAAAACACACCUUUUUCCAGAAAAUGUGCAUAUAUUUAUGUAUAUAAUAAACAUGUUAAUGAUGUUCCAUAUCGGUCCAGAACAUAUUUUGUUGAUUUUCUGUGCCUAUUUAGCUCACCUGAGCAAUAGCUCGAGGUGAGCUAUUGUGAUCACUCAGCGUCCGGCGUCCGUCCGUCCGUCCGUCCGUCCGUAAACAAUUUGUAAACACCUUCUUCUACUAAACCAUUGAGCCAAUUUCAACUAAAUUUCAUGUGGAGCAUCCCUUGGUCAUGGGACAAAAGAAUUGUUAAAAAAAAUUUGAUCACAUAACCAAGAUGGCCGCCAUGACCAUAUAUGGUAAAAACCUUAAAAAAUCUUCUUGUCAUAAACCGCUCAUCAGAUUUUCAAAAAAUUUCACAGGGAUGACCUUUGAGGGCUCUCCUGAAAAAGUUGUUCAAACAAAUUUGAUUCGUCAAAAAACAUGGCCGCAGGAGCUCGUUGAACUUUGCAUGUUUAUUCGUUUUUGCCUAUUUUGUGAAAACUUUCAAAAAUCUUCCACAUUUUUUGUCCGAUCCUUUCCAAAUUUGCACAGUGUCUUUUUAUCAAUGAGGACACGAACCCUACAAAAAAUGAGCAUUAUUGGUCCAUGAAGUACAGAAUUACCUCCCAUUGAAUUGAGAAAAUGGUGUUUAUGCAAUAAAGUCCAAAUUUUUCAUCCAAUUCUUUCCAAACUUGUAAGGAUUUAGCAUGGUUCAAACAAGGGAAACAACUACGGUUUAUGCAUGUUCUUUUUAUUACAGAUUUGCCUCCCUUUAAUUCAUUCAAAAUCUCAUUUUACAGCAGAGAUUCCAAAUCUGACCUGUAAAUGAGCCCCAUAUUUACUGCUGGUGCUAUGUUACCUUUUCCCAUUUGAUCAUUCUUAAGUAUUGGUCUUGUAAUGCUGCUACUGCUACUGCUACUGCUACUGCUACUACUACUACUACUACUACUACUUCUACUACUACUACUACUACUACUUCUACUACUACUACUACUACUACUACUUCUACUACUACUCCCACUACUACUACUACUACUACUACUACUACUACUACUACUACUACUACUACUACUACUACUACUACUAGUACUACUACUACUAGUACUACUACCACCACCACCACCACCACCACCACCACGUCUACUAUUACUACUUCUACUACUACUGCCACUACUACUACUACUUUUACCACUACUACUACUACUACUACUACGACUACCACUACUACUACUACUACUACUACUACUACUACUACUACUUCUACUACUUCUACUACUACUACUACCACUACUACUUCUACUACUACUACUACUACUACUACUAAUACUACUACUACUACUACAACUACUAUUACUACUACUACUACUACUACUACUACUACUACUACUACUACUACUACUACUACUACUACUACUACACCACCACCACCACCACCAUUCACAGUGACAAAAAACGUAUUCACACAAUGGCUGCUACUACAACUUAUAGCCCAUAUAGGGGGGCAUGCAUGUUUUACAAACAGCCCUUGUUUCUAUGGGAUUUUAACCACAACUGUUUAUGUUUAUCUCCGACACAUAUUUUUAGGUCACCUGUCAUGAAGUGACACGGUGAGCUUAUGUGAUCGUGUGAUGUCCGGCGUCCGUUGUGCGUGCCUGCGUGUGUCCGUGCGUCCGUCCGUCAACAAUUUGUUUGUGUAGACAGUAGAGGUCACAGUUUGCAUCCAAUCUUGAUGAAAUUUGGUCAAAAUGUUUAUCUUGACGAAAUCCGGUUUGGGAUUGUAUUUGGGUCAUCUGGGGUCAAAAACAAGGUCACUAGGUCAAACAAUAGAACAACCUUCUGUAGACAAUAGAGGUCACAGUUUUCAUCCAAUCUUUAUGAAAUUUGGUCAGAAUGUUUAUCUUGAUGAAAUCUGGGUUGGGAUUUUAUUUGGGUCAUCUGCGGUCAAAAACUAGGUCACUAGGUCAAAUAAUAGAAAAACCUUGUGUAGACAUUAGAGAUCACAGUUUUCAUCCAACCUUUAUGAAAUUUGGUCAGAAUUCUUGAUGAAAUCUGGGUGGGAUUGUAUUUGGGUCAUCUGGGGUAAAAAUCUAGGUCAAAUAAAUAGAAAAACCUUGUGUUGACAAUAGAGGUCACAGUUUUCAUCCAAUAUUUAUGAACUGUGGUCAGAAUGUUUAUCUUGAUGAAAUCUGGAUUGGGAUUGUAUUUGGGUCAUCUAGAGUCACGAACUAGGUCACUAGGUCAAAUCAUAGAAAAACAGUGUGUAGACAAUAGAGGUCAUAGUUUUCAUCUGAUCUUAAUGAGUCAGGUGAGCGAUUCAGGGCCAUCAUGGCCCUCUUGUUUGGCUUAAAUUCUUUAAAAUAGUAAUAAAUAUGAAAAAAGAACAUUUUUUUGUUCCCAUGGCAACUAUGAGUAUUUACGGAUUAAUUUUAGUACAAUUAAUUCCGUACUUUGAAAUUAAUUAUGUUCAUCCAGAUACGCGAUCAAUGGAGAUAUUAUUAACACAAACUGAUCAGCAUAACAAGUACCGAUACUGGUUGAAUAAGGACGUCAUUUCAUCCAAAACGGGCAUUCAGCAUUUAUGACAAACAAAAAGUGACAGACUCAGAUGGGUCAUAAUCUCGUUCCCAGCCACAAAUCUUCAUCGCCUAUGUAGGAUGGCCAUGACUUAUUGAUCGACUAUCCAUUGUGACUUUUUUGAAAAAUGCAGCUGCAGCCUUGAUUUUUAUAAACCUGUUUAUAAUAAAGCAUACAUAUACUAAAUCAAUAAAAAACUUCCGACAAAACGUCUUCUUAAAAAAAGAUAGUUUGACUAUGUAUAAAGAUAUUGACAUCUAUAUACAUAGUCGAACUAUCCUUUUUUAAGAACUAAACUUCUUCCCAAACACACUAAAUCUAGCCCCAGGCCUUCAGCGCCUAUGGCGCUUUGUUUAUUUCGCAGACGCUAAGUGUUUUAUUGGCAUUUAAUUAAAUAGGACAUAUUUUUGUAAGAAGUACACAUACUGCGAUUUAAAUAACGUGCAUUUACGACUUCAGGAAUAUAAUUAGGAAUGAUGUCCGGUCAUUAAAUAGGCCGAAGUGUUUGUCAUGUAAUAUAAAAAAACACGAAGUACGUGGGAUAUUUUUUAUGGUGCAUUUUAAAGCGCGAACUUUAUGGUCCAUCUCAACGGCCCACUUUAAAUGUUUAGGGGUUUUACAAAAGUAUACAUUAUACGCUUCAAGUCUUAAAUGUUUCGGUUUUCGUAUUAAAAUUCCGAUAUUUGAUAAUAAUUUCACAUACAUUUAUUUGAGAAUAAACUUAUAAAAAAUAUAUCAAAAACAUGGUUGAAUAAUACCCGUCAUAUAACGCUCAAUAUUAUUAUAAAACGCAUUCAUGAGGGAAAAUGAGCAUACGUUACGACAUGAGACCAAACACUGUAAAAAAAAUGUUUUGAAUGAAGAUCUCACACGUAGUCUCGACAAUCGCAACAUAAUGUUUCCAUGGCAGAUGAAAGUUAUUUUGAAUGUGAUUAUCCUGCGCCAUAAAAAAUGUGUUUCAAAUAUUUACCUUCAGAACUCUUCAAUUGUUAGAAAUCAUAACAGUACAUAGUGAUGGUUGUCCAGGUUGGUAUUGGUAUCGUUUGGUGAAUUCAGUUUUGUUGGUCUGACAGUCCCGAAACUGGGCCGAAAUCUAUCCUUAGCACUUUCACGAUCAAGGCCAUAACUUGAAACAUGUUAAUAUAUUAAUUCGCUGAGUUGCAUGUAACUAAAACACAAAGAUACUUUAUUAGUCAAUUUUCUACUCAGAAGUCAACUAUAUUACUUCUACAUGUGUUUGUAUGGAGUAAGUCUGCACUUUAUCUAUGCAUAAACGAUUUGACUUAUGUUUACAACAUGUGGUUUUACAUAUUCGUAUAUGAGUUUAAAUAAAAUAUACUUCUUUGUAUUCAAUUGCAGCAAUACCUACCCGUAUGUAUCUGUUAAUUAUUUAUAAAUAUACAUACACGCACGUGUUCACUACAUUUAAGGUUAAUACUUACUCGCAUUUGUAUAUGCGAUAUACAACGUGUUUAUCUAUAAAUGCAAUAUAUACAUUGCAAUUUUUACUUUCUUAAACUUUUACUGUCUUAAUUCUAAGCUGGUUAUUGUAUAUAACCAAAUAUUGUAUCAUUAUAAAUACGCUAUUAAAUAUGAUAUCAUUAUAUCGUUUGCGAAAUUUAGUUCUAAAUGAUUCUUAAUAAUACAAAACAUAUUGAUUAAUAACAUUCACGCAGAUAAAUGUAAGACAUUUCAAUUUUUAUUUUUACUUUCCAGCCUAUCCAGGAUCGACAUAUGCUCCAUUACGUAAGUAUUAUUAAUUUCCAUCCGAAUUAUUACCAAACACCUAAUAUAUUAGUUAAGUUUGGACCUAGUUCAGGAGCGUUUAAAAACUAAAACUUUUUAUGCACUAUUAAGGAAAUAUUUAUGACUCAAUCAUUAUGAAACUUGGUUAGAGUGUUUAUCUUGACAAUAUAUAAGCCGGGUUUGAAUCUGAAUGUUGAUACUUGCGUUCAACAGGUCAAAUUUUAGAAAAAUCUUGUCAUCAAUCAAGCGAUAUUAUUUAUAACUCAACCUUAAUAAAACAAAAUUAGACUUCUUGUUAUAUUGACUUUAUCAUGGCUAACUUCGAAUCUACGUCACACAUAUCAAAAGUUGAAUGAUUUUACACAUUAAAUUGCAAUACGACUAUUAAAUUUUAUUCAGUUUUAUUAAAUAUACGUUCAUUACAUUGGUAUCGUUUUCAUUGUCGCUAAUUAAAUAAUUUAUUUUUCAACAAUCGCGAGUUCUUUUAUUACCAUAUAUGAUGGUACGCAGCGGUGAUCUUUCGAUGGAGGUUAUUUUCGCCAAAGGCUUCUCCUUAGAAAAUGUAAAUUCCACAGGAGCCAUUUGGUUUCUAUCAGUUUCCGAACGUGUAGUUUCUAUGUAAACUGAACUCUAUUUUGCACUUCAAUAAGAAUUUGAACACCGCAGUACUUUUAUGAUAAGCAUUUGCGUUUGUAAAUUUGAGCGUAUUGGAAGGCAUGUACAAAUAUAUUGUCAUUUAUUGUGUAUCCAUUUUUAUUUUAUGCUUUCCGGUGGUUUAUAGAGAAAUAUCAGUGAAAUAAAACUGAUAAUUUUACUGUUUCAAACAAUGAAAAUUAUCAGUAAAAAUUAUCGAUAAUUUUCACUGUUUACUGUGAAAUGACGUCAUUUUUUGACGAAAUGACAUCAUUAUCCCAGCGAAAUUCUUUAGUUAAACUCUUUAACAAUGUACAUAAAUUGUGAAAAAAGCAUAAAAUAAAAAGAAAAUUAGUUGGAUUCGGUGGAGUAUCGAUUUAAUUCACUCGUGAUCAUGGAAAAUAUAUAUUUUCACUCGUGGCUGCGCCACUCGUGAAAAUAUUAUUUUCUAUGAUCACUCCUGAAUUAAAAUCGAUAAUCCACCGAAUCCAACAAAUAUCCUCUAUGUAACAAAAUGUAAAAUGUGUAACCAAUAUGCGAAAUAUGUUCUUUCUACAUGAUACUGACGAUUUGUGAAUAAAGGCAUAUUUUUAGAAUUUUAUUCAAAACGAAGUAAGCCAUUUUCACAAAGUUACGACUUUCAAUAUAAAAAAUCAGGUAGAGAUUUGACAACGUUGCAAUUGACUCUCUCGUAAAAGUGUUAACCUUUAAUUGUGACAUUGACCCUCGAUUGUUUAUAGUGUUCUCCACUUGAGAUGAUUGUAAGAACAACAAAUCUAUUUCAAAAUCUUUAAAUUGUUGUACAUGGUAUGCAGUGUGUCUUACUAUGCUUCAAUUUUCUUAAUGUAAACAUCAGAACUAAAGUGACCAGAGUGAAAGUAUAGAAAGAAAAAGAGUAAUUCACGCCUGGGCUUGAAUCACUGAUCAUUGGAGUAAAUGCAAACGCUUAAACUUCUCGGCAAUGCGUGAUGUUUUGUUUUUUUGUGUGUGCAAACUUUUCUUUUUUCCGUAGAAUAUUACAUACAAAUGUAUACAAUAUACAGUAUACUUGCUGGUACAUACAUAUUAUUGUCUUACACUCAACAUACAUUCAUAUGCAAAGCUAGUAGUGUUUUACUACAAGUAGUUUACAACAGCAAAAACACACAAAACACAAACAAGCGUGUAACGUACAAAAUAAAUUAAUGUUGAAUAUCUGUAUGUAUAUUUAUUUAUUAUAAAAGUAUUGCACAUUAAAAAAAUAGUUAGUAAAAGCUGAAUUGUA